CUUUGUGUUCCUGGCCCAUCUGUACUCAUUAGACGUGCAAUUCGUUUCGGUCCGAAUAUGAAUUCGGACGAAUUUCAGGCAAUUCGGACAUUCGGGUACUUCCGAAUGUCCAAAUUGCCGAAGUUCAGAAAUUACCAAAUUUUCGAAGUGCCAAAGUUCCGAAGCACUGUAUUGCCUAAGUACUAAUAUACUUACCCAGUGAAAG